ensembl:lncRNA
UUUUUUUUUUUAAUAAUAUAAAAAGAUACUCUGAGCUCUUUCAACAGUGUUCAAAUGUUUGAUUGUGUUCAUUGAUUAUUCUGCAAUUGAAAUGAUGUUCUGCAGCCCCUUGACAGCCUGAACUCUUCUCCUUACCCAAAGAAUUGCUAGCUCUGAAGCAAAGACAAGUCAGAACAGAACACUGGUUUGUUAGACCAUAUUCUAAAUAUAAAGUUAAAAGAUUUACACUGGAAUAAAGUAAUUUAAGCCCUUAAUCCUUGACUUGCAGGAUGUCACCAGAGACACUUUGUAGUAACUGGCGCUGUCAAUUAAGAUAUCAAAUGAUCUCAGAAUGUAUUCCAUCCAUUUUUACUCCAAGAAAAGUUUGUAAAACUCCACUAAAGUGCCUGCUUCUUAAACUGAAGGUAAAGGUUUUCUCUCUAUUGCCUGUGUGCUGGAAAGUGGUCAAGUGAGAUGUUGAGACACACAAAAUGAAUCCCUCCUGUCGAGGCUCUAGCUGUGGCAUACCUGAGAAAUGCCAAGAGGGAAGGGACUAUUUUUGAAGUGUUUCAGGUGUCUAACCUUGAGAAAAAGCUUCAUUAAUUGUAGAAGGCAAACAAAUUCACACACAUACACAAUGUAUGCUUGAAAUGAAAAGGUUUGGGCCAUGUUGCAGCAGAGAAGUUCUUGUGAGUUUAGGGAGUCCCUCUAAUGGCUUGUGUGAGAUUUUUGUUGUAAGAGAGAGUGGUGUCUAACACAAACUCUACCUAGAAAGUUUUUGCUUUCCAGUAAAAUUCUUCCUGAACUACAGUGUGUAUCAUGGCACCAAAAAAAAAAAAAGCCAUUUUUAUAGCAGGUCUCAGAUAUCUUCAUGGACUCUUAUUACACUAGUCUUUCAGCACUAGGAGCUCUUGCAGGCUUUGCCUGGAGGAAAGGGACUUCCAUUGUGAAGAAUGUGCUGGAGAUUAAGAUACUCCUCAGGUGAGGUGUCUGUUGUUCUAGCAACAAUUCUGCUUUCUGUUCUCUUUCCUGUUUUUCUUUUUUCCCCCCUCUUUUUCUAUUCUUUGGUUUUUCUCUUUCUGUUGGUCUGUUUUUCAGGUUUUGUUUUUCUUUCUGUAUUUCUCUUUCUCUAUUUCUGUUCCUCUUUCAUUCUCUGUCUCGAUUUCUUGUGUUUUUCUCUUGUUUUUAUUUCUCACAUAGAAUACUAUUUCUUUAGCACGACCUGUCUUUUAUCCCCUUAUUUUGUGGUGCCUGACUAACAUGAGAAAAGAGGAAACUUUUGCAAUGGCUUUAGAUAAGGACUGGCAGGAGGUAAUAGUAAUAGUUGAAAGUCUACUCUUUAGAUUAGCCUUGAGGAAUGCACUCUGGUUUAUCAAGGUGUUACUUAAAGUAUGUUUUAUUUCCUGUGAUUUAAGUGACUGAAAUGCUUACAGUUCUGUUUCUAUUACAAUAUAUAAAUUUCAGCUCAGGCCUGAAACAUGAAACUGGACCUUGGGUGAUUUGUGACUGAGCCGUGUUCACAGACAGUGAAGACUUGGGCAGUCAAGUGAGGGGAGUGUGACCAUCCUGGAGUGGCUUCUGAGGACUGUGCAGGGGAGUUCUCACCAGGUUCUGGUGUCUGCCUGGGCUGGGUCUCCGCAGCACCACUCAGAGCAUGUGAAGGUGCCUGAAUUUGUAUGUCUCAACAUUUGCAAAGGGGGAGGAAAAUUCUUUGGUUCACGUUUUCAUGGACACCCCAUGAGUCUGUCAAAAGCAUUGGCUUUGUGCCAAGGCAUUUUCUUUGUGUGGCUUGUCUUGGAGAAUGCUUUUUACUGGAAAUACCUAGUCAAAAUUAGAAGGGUCUUUCUUCUUCACGUAGUCAUUUCACCAUCUUGUAAUUCUGUAGGAAUAUGUCACGUGUGUUUGCCAGGCAGUGGACUCUGACUACAAGGAAAUAGCUGCCUGUGCUUCAGGUUACAUGGCUGGGAGGGUGCCAGGUGCCCUUUGCUUUGAGCACAGCCACUGUACCUACUGCGUGAGCACGGCUACAGCCCCUGGACAGUAGGUGAAGAGGUCAUGAGAGCUGUGCAGGUAAUUAAAGCUGCUUGCUCCUACCUCCUGCUCAUCUCUCUGCAGUCUUCAUGAUUCAUCAGCUGUGACUGCCUUCAGUGUGACGGCUUCUAGGCCAAUUUUUUAUCUACUGUCACAGAUUUGUUCUGAAGAGGACGCCACCAUUUCUGCAGAUGUCAUAGAUGGCAACACAGCACUUGGUGAUGAGAGCUGUGCUCAUGACAUUUGGUGACACAACGCUGGGAACAACUGAUAUGUUAGCAAAAAAGAAAAAGGUAUAAAGGAUGUAUUAAAGUUCUUUUCUGAUUUCCUUAUACACACAUACAGAUAUUUUUGUUCACCUGGCCUUCUCUAUACUGCCUCUAUUGCAAUUGGAGGGAAAAAUGUGCAGAAUCUAAGUUUUUUUCCCACUAUGUGUAUUUUAAGAUGUUUACAAGACACACUGCCCAUGUUCAUGCAUACUGCAAAGAUGGAAUUGGGCUGUGAGUGCAGCAGGGUUUCCAGGAUCACAUCUUUGUGUUACACAAAUAGCUAAUAGCUCGUGGGAUAAAGGAGAAUGUGUGUGCAUGCACGUGUGCAUAGCUGUAUUUGCUUAUGGUUGUAGAAUUGAAUUAUAUUGCACCAUUCAACAAAUACAGGUAAUGUGUUAUCUCUUCCCUCCAUCUCUGUGUACUCAGUGGUGGUGAACCUUUUCAUCUGAACUUUAUCUAUGUGCUUUGCAAAUGUUAACAAUUACGUCUCACUGUAUUUGUGAGGCACACUAACUGUGGACUGUUACCAACUUCUAGGUGGCGGCUGUCAGCAUGCAAGUAGGAAGCUGUUUAGUCUAAGGCUAAGCAGUACAUUUAUGGUCAUGUCCUGAAGGAGAAUCUGGAAGUUUCUCCUUCUUUUCCUGUCCCAUGGGGAGCCUGUAGCUCCUCUGGAAUCAGCUAUAUAGGCUAAAUGCUGAAACACUGAAUGCCUUUCAGCCAAAACUUGUUCCUCUCUUUCUCUGACCCUCUCUAUGAAACAAGUGCAUGUGCUGCUAGAACAGGCUUGCACCACAAAAAGAGGUGGAAAUUCCACUCCCAGGGCACCCUCUCUUUUUACUGAUGGCAUAAAAAAUGAGAUUUUGGUUGGAAUUUGGCUGAAAACCCACUGUAAGUUGCAAGCUGCAUUUUUUUGGGGGCUACCUUUUAUUCAUUCUUGUCUUUUAGUUUUCAACAUCUUCUUUCCUAGAAACAAUAAACUCAAGUUUUACUUAGUCCUUUUCUCUCUGCUCCUUUGCAGCUUCAGAAUGAGCAAUAACAACUGAAGGUCUGGUAUUGAUACAUCUUUGGUGGACAAGGAAAUGGAAAGGAUUAUGUUACUGUGCACUGCAAGCUUACUCUGUGAAGUGCUGUUGGAUGUAUUAGAAAUGCACCAGUUUCAGCAGGAGCUAUAAGGCUUUCACUAUAAAGUGGCAAUGGCCACACAUGUGUGUGGAAUGUUUUGGUUAUUUAAUGGAGUGGACUUAGUAUAAAUAUUCCUAAUAUUACUAAUGUUUCUAUAUAAAAGUCUUGCCUGCAUAGCAGUCAUUAAGCCAUGUUGUACAGAGCCCAAAAUGACCGCCUUAAUUUAAGUAAUGUUCAAGUUCAUGUAGUUUUGAAGAUGAAUUUAAUUUCUCCUGGGUUGUGCUUUCAAGCCUUAUGUAACUUGGACCACAAACAGGUCUGUGAUGACAAAAAAUUUAGUUCACUAAGGGGUGAAGAUUUAAAAAAAUCCCCCUGAAAGGAGCUACAUAGAGUAAGAUUUACACUGAGUACGGAAAAGGCUUUAUGAAAACGCAGAAGAAGAAAACUAGCCAUAUCAGAGGCAUCCUAAGUAUGUGCUGGUUCUCAAAUGUGCCUUUCUCCUGGUGACUGUAGUGCGCACAGACUUGACACAGUGGCUGCAGUGCUGAGUAUUCCAAAAUGUCUCUGUCACUGUGAAUUUUUUCCAUAAUUUUCUUCUGAAAGUGGUGAUGCUUUCAGUCUUAAGUACAGGAGGUGCCUGCUGAUUCUUAAGGGACUGAGGCAAAGAAAUUAACCAAGAAGCACACUCAGUGUAUCAAAGGGCAGCUCCAAACCUGAGUAUAGUCCAUUCUCACCAGAGCUUUAUAAACAUUUUUUUUCUGCUUUCUUCUGUCUUAUGUGAUAUGCAGUUGUAGUGGCAAAUGGCAACAGAGAUUUCAAGCCCAUUGAAAAAUAAACGUAAAAGUUUGCGGACCUGGUGCAAACUUCUGUUAGAGCACGAAAUCUUUUUUUCAAGAUGUUGCAAGAUCCCACAGAAAAUCUUUACUAGCACUUUAACACCUUGCAGAAUGCUUGGGUGUUUCUGUGCCUGUGCAGUAGGCCUUCACAGAUUUCAGUAUCUACCCCCAACUGCUGAGAUGCACUUGAAGCAACUUGGGCUGAGCACAAAAAGGAGUUAGAAGAGCAAGUUACAAUGAGUUUUUAUUGUUUCUUUGCUUUUGAUCAUAUGACAACAAAAUAUUUUUCCCUCUACGGCAUAAUAAUGAUAAUGAAUUUUUUUUAUGUAGCUGUUUGUGUAGUACUGUGUUAUUCAUGAGGGCUGUCAGCCCAUUUCUUCAGCCUGUAGAGGUCCCUCUGGAUGGCAGCACAACCUCUGGUGUAUCACCCAGUUUGGUGUCAUGUGUGCCAACAGUGCACUCUGCCCCAUCAUCUGGGAACCUCAAGGUGAACCUCUCAUUUGGCUUUUGUUUCCAAGUGUGUCGAAUGCUGCUGUGACUUUUGUGGGAAUUACUAUUUGAUUUUUAAAUUUCAUUUUUAUUGUUGGCUGGAUAAUAAAUAAUUCUUUUGUUUGUGUC